ACAAGGUCAAACACACCAUUUGACUAAUUCUCCAAUUUUUGUUUUUCAAAACCCUAGGUCCAAACCCUAACUCACAAUUUUUGUUACAUUUUAUUAAUUCAACACAUAUAAACUUACUUACUCAACUCAUUCAAGCUCAUGUUUACUUUUAAUUCAAUCAAAUGCAUGCAAUUCUCACCCCUACAUAGGCUGCACGAAUUUCCCAUAUGGUCCCUCAACAAUAAUUCUCUUUUCAUUUUAAAUUAAAAUUCUAAGCUAAAGUAACUCAAAUCAUAUAAAUUUAAACAUUAAAUUUCAAUUUAAUGCUUACCUUAACUUGGAGUUUCCUCUUCCUCAAUUCCUUCCUUUUCCUCUUUUAUUUCCUUGCUCAAAAUUCUUUUCAAGUUGCCUAGACAAGCUUUAAUCAACAAAAUUAGGGAAUUUAUGGGAGAUUUUUAGGGUUUAUGGAGCUUGAAAUCAAGCUUCAAUGGUGGAUUUUGAGAGAGAGGUGAGAGGUGACGGGAAUGGGAGAAGAAAUCAAUUUUUUUUUCUUUUCUUUUUGUUAUUUUAUGUCUUAGGAAGACCAUAAUUCUAAUUAAAUAAAUUUUUAAUUAAAAUACUUAUGGCAUCAUGCAUGUGUCACCACAUGAUGUCAUUACCUUUUUAACUUUUUCAUUUUUCUUUUUUUUUAUUAAUUCUUUAAUUUAAUUCUCGAUUC
rnacentral:misc_RNA from 1 species